rnacentral:rRNA from 1 species
UGCAAGUCGAACGAUGAUCCCAGCUUGCUGGGGGAUUAGUGGCGAACGGGUGAGUAACACGUGAGUAACCUGCCCUUAACUCUGGGAUAAGCCUGGGAAACUGGGUCUAAUACCGGAUAUGACUCCUCAUCGCAUGGUGGGGGGUGGAAAGCUUUAUUGUGGUUUUGGAUGGACUCGCGGCCUAUCAGCUUGUUGGUGAGGUAAUGGCUCACCAAGGCGACGACGGGUAGCCGGCCUGAGAGGGUGACCGGCCACACUGGGACUGAGACACGGCCCAGACUCCUACGGGAGGCAGCAGUGGGGAAUAUUGCACAAUGGGCGAAAGCCUGAUGCAGCGACGCCGCGUGAGGGAUGACGGCCUUCGGGUUGUAAACCUCUUUCAGUAGGGAAGAAGCGAAAGUGACGGUACCUGCAGAAGAAGCGCCGGCUAACUACGUGCCAGCAGCCGCGGUAAUACGUAGGGCGCAAGCGUUAUCCGGAAUUAUUGGGCGUAAAGAGCUCGUAGGCGGUUUGUCGCGUCUGCCGUGAAAGUCCGGGGCUCAACUCCGGAUCUGCGGUGGGUACGGGCAGACUAGAGUGAUGUAGGGGAGACUGGAAUUCCUGGUGUAGCGGUGAAAUGCGCAGAUAUCAGGAGGAACACCGAUGGCGAAGGCAGGUCUCUGGGCAUUAACUGACGCUGAGGAGCGAAAGCAUGGGGAGCGAACAGGAUUAGAUACCCUGGUAGUCCAUGCCGUAAACGUUGGGCACUAGGUGUGGGGGACAUUCCACGUUUUCCGCGCCGUAGCUAACGCAUUAAGUGCCCCGCCUGGGGAGUACGGCCGCAAGGCUAAAACUCAAAGGAAUUGACGGGGGCCC